rnacentral:rRNA from 1 species
CCUACGGGAGGCAGCAGUGAGGAAUAUUGGUCAAUGGGCGCGAGCCUGAACCAGCCAAGUAGCGUGAAGGAUGACUGCCCUACGGGUUGUAAACUUCUUUUAUAAAGGAAUAAAGUGAGGCACGUGUGCCUUUUUGUAUGUACUUUAUGAAUAAGGAUCGGCUAACUCCGUGCCAGCAGCCGCGGUAAUACGGAGGAUCCGAGCGUUAUCCGGAUUUAUUGGGUUUAAAGGGUGCGUAGGCGGAAGGUUAAGUCAGCGGUCAAAUGUCGGUGCUCAACACCGGCCUGCCGUUGAAACUGGUCUUCUUGAGUGAGCGAGAAGUAUGCGGAAUGCGUGGUGUAGCGGUGAAAUGCAUAGAUAUCACGCAGAACUCCGAUUGCGAAGGCAGCAUACCGGCGCUCAACUGACGCUGAGGCACGAAAGCGUGGGGAUCGAACAGGAUUAGAUACCCUUGUAGUC